rnacentral:rRNA from 1 species
AUUGAACGCUGGCGGCAGGCUUAACACAUGCAAGUCGAACGAGUGGCGGACGGGUGAGUAAUGCUUGGGAAUCUGGCUUAUGGAGGGGGAUAACGACGGGAAACUGUCGCUAAUACCGCGUACCAUAGGAUGAGCCCAAGUGGGAUUAGGUAGUUGGUGGGGUAAUGGCCUACCAAGCCGACGAUCUCUAGCUGGUCUGAGAGGAUGACCAGCCCCACCGGGACUGAGACCCGGGCCCGACUCCUACGGGAGGCAGCAGGGGGGAAUAUUUCCGAAUGGGGGCAAACUGACCGAGCCAAUCCGGGGUGAUUAAGAAGGCCCUUGGGUUGGAAAGGUCUUUCCGGUAGGAGGCGUUAAUCCCAGAAGAAGGACCGGGUAAAUCCGUGCCAGCAGCCGCGGUAAUAC